GAUGAACGCUGGCGGCGUGCCUAAUACAUGCAAGUCGAGCGAACGGACGAUAAGCUCGCUUCUCUGAUGUUAGCGGCGGACGGGUGAGUAACACGUGGAUAACCUACCUAUAAGACUGGGAUAACUUCGGGAAACCGGAGCUAAUACCGGAUAAUAUUUUGAACCGCAUGGUUCAAAAGUGAAAGACGGUCUUGCUGUCACUUAUAGAUGGAUCCGCGCUGCAUUAGCUAGUUGGUAAGGUAACGGCUUACCAAGGCAACGAUGCAUAGCCGACCUGAGAGGGUGAUCGGCCACACUGGAACUGAGACACGGUCCAGACUCCUACGGGAGGCAGCAGUAGGGAAUCUUCCGCAAUGGGCGAAAGCCUGACGGAGCAACGCCGCGUGAGUGAUGAAGGUCUUCGGAUCGUAAAACUCUGUUAUUAGGGAAGAACAUAUGUGUAAGUAACUGUGCACAUCUUGACGGUACCUAAUCAGAAAGCCACGGCUAACUACGUG
rnacentral:rRNA from 1 species